rnacentral:tRNA from 1 species
GCCUGGGUGGCUCAGUCGGUUAAGCGUCUGACUUCGGCUCAGGUCAUGAUCUUGCGGUUCGUGAGUUCGAGCCCCGCAUCAGGCU